rnacentral:misc_RNA from 1 species
GAUGAAGAACGCAGCGAAAUGCGAUAAGUAGUGUGAAUUGCAGAAUUCAGUGAAUCAUCGAGUCUUUGAACGCACAUUGCGCCCCCUGGUAUUCCGGGGGGCAUGCCUGUCCGAGCGUCAUUGCUGCCCAUCAAGCACGGCUUGUGUGUUGGGUCGUCGUCCCCUCUCCGGGGGGGACGGGCCCCAAAGGCAGCGGCGGCACCGCGUCCGAUCCUCGAGCGUAUGGGGCUUUGUCACCCGCUCUGUAGGCCCGGCCGGCGCUUGCCGAACGCAAAACAACCAUUUUUUCCAGGUUGACCUCGGAUCAGGUAGGGAUACCCGCUGAACUUAAGCAUAUCAAUAAGCGGAGGA